rnacentral:rRNA from 1 species
AUGGUGUCCUCACGCGUCCUCCUCCUCGUCGUCGCGAUCCUCCUGUGCAUGGCUUCUGUCCAGGCAAGUGGCCAAAGCCUGACGCCUCCAGCGGAAGGGGCACCAGCACCGGCACCAUCUGCCUGCGGUGGCGAUCACUGCACAUUGAGCGACAUAGUCAAGCUCGAAGUGUGCCUCGACCUCCAGCUGGGAAGGAUGAGCCCGGGCGCCAAGGACCGGUGCUGUCGGCGUAUACGUGCGAUGCCGAACGCCGCCGGCUGUCUGAGAGUCGCGUUCAUCCGGGCCGAUCUUCGUUUCCACGCCAAUAUCGACAACCGCGUCAAUGCCGUGCUCACUGCCUGCGGCACGGCUACGGUCUUAGACCGCGCUUGUCUUGUACCCUUAUUUGGGAGACGUCACCUCGGCCUCGCUGGUGACCCUCAGUGA